UAUCAAUUUAUUUAUGUCUUUGAUUUCCUAUUUGGUUAGAGAUUUGUUUUGGCAUCACGAAUUGCACCCGUUGGAGAAGGAAAUGAAUAUGAAGUUUCAUGUAAUGGCUGGUUUGUCUACAUUGGAUUGUCAGGUAUAAAGUUUCAUGUUUUUUAAGUUACCAUAUCUACUUUUCGAAAGCAUUAUCAUAUCUACUAUUGCAUCAUAUUAAGGGAAAGUGGUAUUUCGAUGUUACAUGAUUUUAAAUUUGAGGAGUUUUGAUAUCAUGGACUAAACGGACCAGUCAGCAUUCGGCCUGAAUUGGGAAGGCUUUCUCCAGAGAAGAGGGGACGGCUGGUCUUAGUUUUGAAUAUUGCUAGCACGAUUGCUUA